CGCACAUUGCGCCCCUCGGUAUUCCGUGGGGCAUGCCUGUUCGAGCGUCAUUUAAACCCUCAAGCACAGCUUGGUAUUGGGUGCUUGUCCCGCCUCCGCGCGGGACUCACCUCAAAGUCAUUGGCAGCCCGCAUCCGCCGGCCGUGAGCGCAGCACAAUCGCGCUCUAGGUUCAGGCAGGUCGGCUCUCCAGAAGCACUUCUUCCAUUGACCUCGGAUCAGGUAGGGAUACCCGCUGAACUUAA
rnacentral:misc_RNA from 1 species